ACGGCCCUCUCCUCCUCCUCCGCUUCGGCUCCCGCCCCGUCCUCCUCGUCUCCUCACCCUCCGCAGCCAAGGACUGCUUCACCGUCAAUGACAUCACCUUCGCCAACCGCCCCCCGCAACUCUCCAACAAGUACUUUGGCUACGACGGCACCACCCUCGGCGCCUCCUCCUACGGCCCCCACUGGCGCAACCUCCGCCGCAUCGUCACCCUCGAGAUCUUCUCCCCCGCCCGAGUUGCCGCCUUCUCUGCCUCCCGUGCUGCUGAGGUCCGCUUGCUCCUCCGCCACCUCUCCGGCAACGGAGAUAAAGCUGAGUUCCGGAAGGUGGAGAUGAAGUCGAGGUUCUCUGAGCUGACGUUUAAUGCGGCCAUGCAGAUGAUAGCCGGGAGGAGGUACUACGGGACAGAGGCGACGGAGGUGGCAGAGGAGGGGCGGCGGUUCCGUCGAGUUAUAGGGGAGAUAUUUUUGUUGAGCGGGUCAUCGACUUUGGAGGACUUCUUGCCAUGGGCGAGGUGGGCAGGGUGGAACAGUGCCGAGAAAAGGAUGGUGAGAUUAGCGAGGGAGAUGGACGAGUUGUUCCAAGAGAUGGUGGAGGAUCGAAGAAAGAAGAGCGGAAGAGAAGAGGGAAAAACUAUUAUCGAUGUUAUGUUGGCGAUGCAGGAGGCCGAGCCUGGUUACUACACCGACGAGAUCAUCAAAGGAAUAAUUCUGGUACGGUCAUGGUAGCUUCUUUGAUUCGAUCUACUUCUAUCACCAAGCAUUAUCAUAAACUCUAUUCAAACUAUUCCCUACAGUGGAAGUUUUUCCGAGUGAGAGACACAGGGGAAAAAGGUUUAAAUGAGUAGAAUAGAAUUCUUUCUUUGUUUAUUUUUCUUCCUCUCGACCGAUUCUGGCAAGAAAUUAAUGUGGGAAAGUGACAUUCAUUAAAACUCAAAAUAAGUUGGCGUGGUACUUCUCCAUCCUCCAUAAAAUACCAACCACUAAAUAAAUUAAUGUAUAAUCCAUGAAGGUGCGACGACUAACAUCAAAAUACAGUGACAGAAACAAAGUCCAAGCAAUUGAUACCUAACCAUGCUAGGAAAGAAAAACUGCAUGUGCUCCUUGGUCGAUAUACCCACGAGUAGCACAACUAGACUCCAUCUUCGAGUAAUUAAACUUGGUGAGGAGAUGUACCUCACAAACGCUCCUGGAUGAGUUUGGAACAAAGUUCAUGAGGUAUUACUUUAGAACAUAUAUAUCUCAUGCAUCGGAGACAAUUACGGUGAUUAGGAUGAUUGUUAUCUCCUAUUUGAAAUACAAUAAAAUAAGAUAGGAAGCUCACCCAUAUCCCUUGACCAUAUUGGAGGCCCUUAUUUUGAAUCCAGAACCAAGAUUAAUAUCCUAUAAUAAUAAAAAUUGUUGUCUGCAGGUUAGUGUGGGCUCUCUCUGGGAUCAAACACAACAUCUUCUUCAAAUUACUUUGCAGGAAAAAAACAAAAAACAGGACCUUGGUGGCCUUCAUCUAAUGAUUUUAUUUAUCUUGUUCUCGCACAUCUAACAAUGACUAUCAUUUUGUUUCAGAACCUAAUAACAGCUGGAACGGACUCUUCCGCUGGAACCAUGGAGUGGGCAUUGGCCUUGCUUCUCAAUCAUCCAGAGGCAUUAAAGAAGGCCAAAGCUGAGAUAGACAUGCAAGUGGGUCAUGCCCGCUUCGUCACUGACCAUGACCUUCGCAAUCUCCACUACCUCCAGAAUAUCAUCAAAGAAACCCUUCGCCUAUACCCAGCAGGCCCUCUCCUCGUGGCGCACGAGUCAUCCGAGCAGUGUGUCGUACAGGGAUAUAGUGUUCCACGCGGCACGAUCUUAUUGGUUAAUGCUUAUGCCAUACAAAGGGACCCACAGCUAUGGACGAAUCCCUCGGAAUUUAGGCCAGAGAGGUUUGAUGAAGUGGACGCAGAGGGAUACAAGAACAUCCCCUUCGGGUCUGGAAGGAGGAGGUGCCCGGGGGAGGGCUUGGCCAUGAGAACUAUGGGGUUAGCCUUGGGGUCUCUGAUUCAGUGUUUUGAGUGGAAGAGAACCGGGGAGGAGGAGGUGGACAUGACUGAAGGCUUGGGGCUCACUAUGCCCAAGGCUGAACCCUUGGAGGCCUUGUACAAGCCAUGUGGAAACAUGACCGACGUUCUUUCUCAAAUAUGACCAUGCUCAAAUUUAUCUCCCUAUAAUAACUAUUUUUAUGAUGUAUCCGUACUUUAAAUUUAUGUGAAAUAUAUGCAUAAGUUGCAAACCAGUGGAGCAUAGAUGGAUGAAAUCUAAUUGAGUGCAAUGGUUUUCUUUGGCUAAUUUAUUGUCUGUUUAGUGAGGUGAGAAUUAAUGCAUUAAUUUGAAAGAAGUUGUGCUACUUACUGGCCUUUCGAGCCAAACUUCUUUCAUAUUGCUGCAAUAUCUGCUUCAUUGAAGUAGCAUAGUCUGUUUUAGCAUAUAAGUUACUCCUCCUUAUUUCCAUUGCUUUUGUUGAUCUCUCUAGUGAUUUAGGAUUUUGUUUUUAUUUUACCUUUGAUGAAAGGAUAUAUUCAAUUCCUUUUUUUCCCCAUACUCAAUUCAUUGAUUGAAUCUGGCCAAUUGAACCGUCAUUGUUUUCUUUUGGAAACAAAAAGCUAAUGUAGAUCCUUAAUCCAUUCAAUUUAGCCCAUAAUUUGUUGUUGCUUGGAGGCCAAACUAACCUCAUUCAACUCAUGUUCACCUAUAAAUUGUAAACUUAAUCCAUCCCACAAAGACCCUUCAUUUAGGGCCACAAAUGAGUUGGGUUAACCCCUAACUUGACCUGGUGCCAUCUGGAUUUGACCUGGUCCAACCUAUUACUUAGACUUGUGGUUCAAAAAUAUGACUUGCUCGAAAAAGCGGGUCAAUCUAUGUCAUAUAUUUUCACACUUAAUUCGAUCCAUAUAAUAGUUGGGCCAAAAUUGUCCAAUUUAUCGGGACUAAGCAUGGUCUAGCUAAUCUGAUUGAAUCUAGAAACCCAUUACUUUAAAAACCCUAAACCAUGUAUAAUUAUCGAAUUCCAUGCAUAUGUUUGUAUGAUGGGGAUUAAGCUUUUUCAUCUAUGUCGAAGAUCCAAUAAUAGUUAAAUAAUGGUAACAAUAUUAAUAGCAGAAAUUUAUAUUAAUUUUGGUUUUCUAAUUCUUUCUACUUGUUUUCCAUGUCAUAAUUUCUUCACCUUUUAAAUGUAUAAUGGAUAGUACAAUUUUAAAAAGUUAAUUCAUUAACCUUGAUCCUAUAUUUGAUUUAAUAUAGAAACUAAUACAUUAUGUUGGUUCUACGUACGCACCCACCUUAGCCUGAAUUAUCAAAUUGAUUUAAAAUAAUUUUUCAUAUACUUGACCCAACUUGAUCCAGUCAGUCAAAUGGUUUAGUUUGGAUCUUGAAAUAAAUCAUCCAAGGAAGCAUCUCCUGGUGUGGCAAUAAGCCUACUCAGCUCAUUACUUCCAUGAACUGUUGGCUUUACAACCUUUUGGGAGCUAACAUCUUGAAUUCCUGAUCGAUAAUCGGCAAUUCAAAAUCCCAUGAGGACCAACCUUCCAGGUGCUCUUGCUAUGUAAAUUUCUUCCUCCCAAUUAAAGAUUGCUGUAGCAGCAAUCGCUCCCUUAAUUGGCGCUUCUUAGGACCCUUUCUUGGAUCAGCACUACUUGCAAGAGUUGACAACCUCUCUGAAAAGGCCCCCGCAUCAGAUAAAUUAUGUAGUUCCCCAUGAUUGGGAAGCUCAAGGUUCUCGAUCGAUGCAUAUAUAAUUGCUCUAAAGGGGCACUCCCAUUCAUCUUCAUUUUCGUCAAGUAGAUAUCAAUCAGGAAUGCCGAUUUCUCUACCAAGAACACGUUGUAAUUGAUAGCCCAAUAACAAUGGCGUCACUUAUAUAAUUGCUUCGCCCCACUCAACUUGUUUGAUGCAUAACUAUGCGAAUAUCACCACCAGCUGCAAUAAGAUGCACUCCCAACACUUCAUCUUAACUUUUAUUGUCCCACUUAAUUGUCUGCUCGCUUGUUAUUCUGCACAAGAUUCUUCUUUAAUGAAAGAGACGAGCUCUCUAUUUGGGCAGUCGGCUUCAAUAUGCUGAAAGCCUAAACACUUGAAACACUUGUGAGGGCUAGAGCCACCAGUGUUGGAAUGGCUGGGGUUGCUAAGGAUGUCCUUAUCCUUUAUCUGAGACAAUUAGGAGAUGCUGGCUUUUGGGGAUGGCGACGUCUUUGAUAUGGAACUUCUCCGGUUGCACGCUCCAUCUACAUAUCUCGAAAAGCAUGAAUUAUUUGUUCUUAGUUGCUGCUUUUCAACUUUUGUUGCUAAUCGUAUCACGUCGUUUAGUAUUCAAUAGGGUUGGAGUUGCAUGACUUGCUCAAUUUGAGGAUUCAAUCUUUUAAGAUAUCACACUAUAGUUUGCUCUUUGAGUUUUUUGAUGUCACAAAUUCUAAAAAGUUACUCAAAUUCUAUUGUGUAGCCUUCUAUAGUCAUGUCACACUGUUGAAGAUUGUAGAGCUUUAGAAUUUUUCUUGGUUGUAAUCUUCAUGGAGAAACUUACGUUUGAGUUCGCGAUGCAUCUUGUCCCAUGUUCGUAUCUUGCCACAUCCUUCUUGCUCACAUCAUCACUUCAAAUUCUUCAACCAAAUUGAUGCGUACUUCUAAAGCACGAUGGGACCAACUUGACACACCGAACAUUGGAAAUUUUAUUGAGCUCGAUAACUCAUUUGAUGGUGUGGAACCAACCAAGGAAGAUAUUAGGUUGCAGGCAUCCUUCAAAGUCGGGGAUGUUUAUUUUGAUAUCAAAGUUGGGUAUCUUCUUAGCUCGAUGAAGAUGCUUGCCAGUUGUAGAACGGAUUGAAAUUUUUUACUUUCUUAUUAGAACACUUGCUUUCAUUAUCAAAGAGUUCUCUACCAGAGUAGUAAUUGGAACCCUGAUGAUGUUAGUGUUUGUGUUAUGCUUGAUGUCAUCGAAAUCGCUGAUUUUCUUACUGAAGUUGUUGAAGCCGGCGACGAAAUUCAUCUAGCUCAAUAUCAUGUAAAUCUUGCUCACGUUCAACAUACCUUUCAAUGUUGCAUUGAUGAGCAGCUUUUUGAAACCAUGCACUGAUGCCAACUAAGGCCAGAGAGGUAUUGAAACUUGGACUAAAAUAUUGAAAAAGAAAGGGUAUGUCGGUGCAAUCGAUUAUGGUGAGGUAGAAACCCCACUAUAGAAAUAUGUGAUAGUAGUUGGAUGAGAAGCAGGGAUGAAUCACUCUCUUUCAUUGGGCGACCACUCCAAGCAUAUAGCUCUCUCACUCACAUCCACAAACUCUAGGAAUCCGUCAAAAAGAAGGAGAGAGAGAGAGAGAGAGAAUUGAGAGAAGGCAAGAAUAAUUUUCAUAAGAGAAUUCUCAUUAACCAGUAACUCAAGAAUCUUAAGAUGAUUACAAGAGGAGCUCUAGUAAGAGUAUAUAUAAGUUGUACAAGGGGACUCUUUCCUUUAACCUUCUAAUAUGGAAUUUUAGUUCUAUUCUAACUUGAAAAAUCCUAAGUACUAAUUUUUCUAAUAAUAUCAAAAGUUCUCGAAAAGAAAUCUUACAAAAAUCAAAAUUUUCUAAAAUUUAGUAACAUCAAACUCUUUUAGCUGAUACAAAAAAAUAAUUAAUUAUCAAAACUUAGAUAUGUCUUGAGACUUAUAUGUACGGGACCACAACCUAUAUAGCUGGGACUUGCGACCCAUGGGGAUGGGACUUGUGAUCUGUGUUGCAUCAUAUAUGUAUGUCCUAGGCACUCCAUCAUCAAAUAUGAAGAGGAGAAAACAUGCAUUGAAUUAGAUUUGCAUGGAGGGAAUCGGUUGUAAAUCUCUUGAAACCUCCUAGCCUCCUCAGAGACUUCAACAUCCUCCCCAAAAUACCUCUUUUCGGUGAUCAUCCUCAACACCUUCCAAAACUAGUCCUUGUCAUUAGAGUCCAUAACAAGCCAUCUAAUCAAGACCAUGACCUCCUCUCUCCAUAAACCAGAGAACAAGUGGAGUCAAGCUGUUGGGAGGAUUUUAAUGGUUCCGCCAGUUGUUGCCAUAGAAAGCCCAUACGAUGGUAGUGUAUUUGUAGCCAAGGUGUUUCACGGCGAGGAGGCAGCAUGGUCGGUGAAGAUGACAUUGUUCUUGGAGUGGCAUUCCUCAGUAGCAUCGUGGUCUAGGAUUCGAAGCGUAGAGAGAUAAUUGGGCUAUAACUGACGAAGAGAGCAGGAAGGGAGAAGCGGAGGGGUUUCUUUGGGAGAUGGAGAUGGGCAAAUAUGGGGAGAGAGGGAGGACAAGGUGGUGAGUUCUUGCUUGGUGGAGUAGGGUGAAGAGGAUGAGGAGAAUUGCUAAGAAGAUGGCUGCGUAGUGGAUAAUAUCCAUGUUGGUUUGGUUUUUGGACCGUCAAGAUUUUUAUUGUCUAAAUAAUUUCUGCAAGAAGAUAAGAGUCAUUGGUUAGUCUGCUUCUUAGGAGGAACUAUAUCCUAUACGACGUGCUCAUUUCUAUAGUAAUGCAUUGAGAUGAGCGGUUGAUGAAUGGAGCUCAUAGAAACGAGUGGUUGUGAUUGGGGGCAUGAAUGACCACUUAGUGCACCCCAUAUGAGAUACAAUUCCUUCUUUAGUGGGCUGGAAUUUCUAGUUAUUAUGAUAAUAUAUAUAUAUAUAUAUAUAUAUAUAUAUUAUCAUAAUAAAAUAUAUGGCAUGACUUCUUUCCUUUUUGUCCAGAAAUAAAAGGGGUGCCAGUAAGAAAACCGGUCAGUCUUCUAUUUUCUCACAGAAUUUUUAUAUGGUUAACAUUUGAGCAAGUCUUCAAAAACUGUUUAUUUGGCAGUAUUUUUAUUAAAUUAUUUUUUCUUUCCAAAAAAAUAUUAAUUUGACAACAGCCUUUAGAGGAAAACUUUAUCUUGUUCAUUUUUUCUGCACCGCCCACAUGCAUUUGCUUUGGAAAACUAAACAUAUAUAGAACGUUGUUGGUGCAGAUGAUAUUAUUUGUUUUAAAAAAAUUAAGUCAAAUUAGCUUCAGGGCCGGCUUUAUGCUCUCGGUUCAUCUCUUUCUUGGAAACCAUCAAAACUGAUAAUAAGAUAUCUCGUGAGCUGCACUUUUUUUUCCCCUUUCUGCCGUUUUCUAAAUAUAAAUAUCCUGUUUGAAUUUAUCAGUUUUCUGAUAACUUGAAUAUUGGAUUUCAAAUUAAGAGGAAGUUUGUUUCUCAAAAAGAAAAUAAAGGAUCUAGAGGGAAUAUAUUUUUAAGCGUUUAGCAAGUGAAGAAAGCAAGACCCACAGUAGCUCAUCAAAAUAGAAAAAUAAAAUCAGUAAAAUUAAUUAAAUAAAGAUCGUACAGUAUGUGUAUGUGUAUGUGUGUGUGUAUAUAUAUAUAUGAAUAUUAGGAGAAUGUUAUACUUUCUUUCUGUAAUUUGGUUGAAACUGCAAAUUCAUAUCGAAUAUAUCAUUUAUAUAUUUUAAAGGACUAGUUCAAGUCUGGGCUACAAAGAGAGGAGCUACAUAAGGUUGGGCAUCAAAAUGAAGUAAGAAAGAAGGAGAGGAAAAGAGAUUAAAGUAAAGAAGAAAAUGUUAUAAAUAAUGAUCAAAUCGUUUGCUCCAAUUCUCUCCAGUUAUUUUGUUUGUUCUUAAUCUUUUUCUUUCUUGUAAAAACAUUAUUAAUCUUCUUGUUCUGAAGCUAUCAAUAAAAUUGCAAGCUCAAGGGAGUCAGAGUUGGCCAUCAACAAAUUGGUCCCAGUGAUUCUCAUGAAUUAAAAGAUUGUGACUGUUGGGGGCAUGUUUGAAGAGAGAUUAAGAAUUGCUUCCCCUGGUAAUCACCAACACACCUCAUCAUUGAGGUGGUUUGUGGAUCCUUCAUUGCAGGGCUAUUUAGAUAGAGAGCAUAUUUUGUUAUGUCACAUACCACUACAUGUUUCUCCGGGCCGAUCGUAAAAAUUUUCUAUACUACUACCACAAGACCACGAGAUAAUAAUAAUAAAAAAGGGUUGCAUGUGAGACAGCAAGCACUAAGUUGGAGACCUAAAUUUUCCAUGCGUAACUAAAGCUACCGACUCACUGUAGUUGAAGAUGAACUGAUAUUUUUCUGCGAAUCUUGUCGGUCCUUCUCUUGGAGUCUUAAACACUAACUUCGAUGGUGCAGUUUCUGCCCCCAAUAUUGAAUUGGUAGGAGUUUCGAUGGGAAUGUAUUUUGUUGUUACUUAUGGUGAUGCUGGAUAAAAGGUGAUUCCUCAAACAUCUGUUGAAGGACAUAUAUAAUCCAUCUACUAAAGGGUAUUAUGGCUUGGAUGAUGACAAGGCGGACUUUUAUGGCAACCCAUAUCUACCAUUGUUAUUUUAUUAUCAUCGGGAACCUCUGUUUCCGAAUUUUUUAAGGUUAACUUCGAUCGUAGUGUGACUGGUGGAGCAUUGUGGACUAAGUUGUCUUUUAUUUGGUGGAGCAAAUUAUCAAAUAUUUCGAUUGCUCUAUGUAAUAUUAUAUAUAUGAUCUGCCUAUCUUAUAAAAAAAAUAGUCAGACGAUAAAUUGGUUGGGAGGCCGUGCAAUAAUUGGAGAUUUUCUAUCUAGUUUUUGUUUUAUUUUUUCUUUUGUCUGGAUCCACAGCUCUGAUGGCUGUGUGAUGCAGGUGCAUGAACAUCAGACAACUUGCAUGCCAUUUUCAGAGUAUUAAAUGGCCGAAUUUAGAAAAGUUAUUAACAUAAAGGUUUCAGGUCUCUUUCUCUUCUUUCCAACAAGCCUAAGAACAUUAAAAUCCGAGUUAUGGUUGGAAAGUUAUAGGUAUUUGAAAAGGCAGGUGUCUNNNNNNNNNNNNNNNNNNNNNNNNNNNNNNNNNNNNNNNNNNNNNNNNNNNNNNNNNNNNNNNNNNNNNNNNNNNNNNNNNNNNNNNNNNNNNNNNNNNNNNNNNNNNNNNNNNNNNNNNNNNNNNNNNNNNNNNNNNNNNNNNNNNNNNNNNNNNNNNNNNNNNNNNNNNNNNNNNNNNNNNNNNNNNNNNNNNNNNNNNNNNNNNNNNNNNNNNNNNNNNNNNNNNNNNNNNNNNNNNNNNNNNNNNNNNNNNNNNNNACUGUGGAUAAAAAAAUAAACGGGAUCCUAAUGGCCAGUUUUAAUGGGCCAAGGGCGGCGCCUCAAAGUCUGAGGUUUUUUUAUUUUUUUUAAUCACCGAGAUGGUAGCACGAUGGAAACAAAACUUUGAUUUUACUAGAAUGACCCAAGUUCGAAAUGUUGGGCAUCGAUUAAUUAUGGAGACCGGAUGCCCCUUGUCUGAUUUAUUUUGUGAAAUCGCAAUCUGGUCUGCUGAUAUUUAGGUGGUGCAGGGGUGAACUCACACGUGGGGUAACUCAUGGGUAGAAGAGGGUAUGAAUAAAAUUUGUCUACCCGCAUCGAAUAUGGGUGGCAGUGUGGAGUUGCUAGUAGGGAGUAGGGAGAGGCCUUUCUUUUUCCCCUCUUCCCUUUCGUUUGUCAAAAAAAAAUAAAAAAAAGUCCAGUUUUUUUUUAAAAAAGGACCGAGUGUUAGGUCAACACAAAAAAAUAUAUAUCGCCAUCGCUUACAUCACAUCGGCUUGAAGUCCGCCUUACACGCAAACCAAGGGAUAAGGAGGACGCGGAGGCAGUCCAGUGGCGGAGAUCAAAGAAAAUGGAAACGGCCACCUUCUACUACUGUGCGGUGCUCUUCUUGGCCCUCCUCUUUACUUCCAAAAGCUUCUUCCAAUCCAAGAACGCCCGUCUCCGAUGUCCACCCACCGGUCCCCUCGCCCUCCCCGUCGUCGGCCACCUCCACCUCCUCCGCCAGCCCAUCCACCGCACCCUCUCCGCCAUCUCCGCCCGCCACGGCCCUCUCCUCCUCCUCCGCUUCGGCUCCCGCCCCGUCCUCCUCGUCUCCUCCCCCUGCGCCGCCGAGGACUGCUUCACCGUCAAUGACAUCACCUUCGCCAACCGCCCCCAGCUCCUCUCCAACAAGUACUUCGGCUACGACUGCACCACCCUCGGCGCCUCCUCCUACGGCCCCCACUGGCGCAACCUCCGCCGGAUCGCCACCCUCGAGAUCUUCUCCCCCGCCCGAGUUGCC
rnacentral:lncRNA from 1 species